GGCCCCGGUAGCUGAGUGGCCGGAGCGUAGGAAUGUCAAUCCUAAGGGCCCGGGUUCGAUUCCCGGCUGGGUCG